UUGACCUCGGAUCAGGUAGGAAUCCCCGCUGAACUUAAGCAUAUC
rnacentral:rRNA from 1 species